rnacentral:rRNA from 1 species
UACGUAGGGUGCAAGCGUUAAUCGGAAUUACUGGGCGUAAAGCGCGCGUAGGCGGGUCUUUAAGUCAGGGGUGAAAUCCUGGAGCUCAACUCCAGAACUGCCUUUGAUACUGAGGAUCUUGAGUUCGGGAGAGGUGAGUGGAACUGCGAGUGUAGAGGUGAAAUUCGUAGAUAUUCGCAAGAACACCAGUGGCGAAGGCGGCUCACUGGCCCGAUACUGACGCUAAGGCACGAAAGCGUGGGGAGCAAACAGG